AGGGCGGCCGCUCCGGGUAUCGCGAGAGUUCGGCGGGCCGAGCAAUCGCAGCAGUCUAUACCCCGACUCUCCCCGGAGGAGCCACCGGCCCUGGACUCUCCAAAUUCUGAGCUCUCAUCAUGGCGGCGGCGGCCGCGGCUGCCGUCGGUGGCCAACAGCCGUCUCAGUCCGAGCUGGCCGCGUCGGGACUGGCCCUAGACAAGGCGGCCACCGCCGCGCACCUCAAGGCGGCCCUCAGCCGGCCAGACAACCGCGCAGGUGCUGAGGAGCUGCAGGCGCUGCUGGAGCGAGUGCUCAGCGCCGAGCGGCCGCUGGCCGCUGCUGCGGGAGGCGAGGACGCGGCGGCGGCCGGAGGCGGGGGUGGUCCGGGGGCGGCCGAAGAGGAGGCCUUGGAGUGGUGUAAGUGCCUUCUGGCAGGUGGCGGCGGUUACGACGAGUUCUGCGCGGCGGUGCGGGCCUACGAUCCCGCGGCGCUCUGCGGCCUGGUCUGGACAGCCAACUUCGUGGCCUACCGCUGCCGGACGUGCGGCAUCUCGCCCUGCAUGUCGCUGUGCGCCGAGUGCUUCCACCAGGGCGACCACACCGGACACGACUUCAACAUGUUCCGCAGCCAGGCCGGGGGCGCCUGCGACUGCGGGGACAGCAACGUGAUGCGGGAGAGCGGGUUUUGCAAAAGGCAUCAAAUUAAAUCAAGUUCAAAUAUUCCCUGUGUCCCUAAAGACUUACUGAUGAUGUCUGAAUUUGUUCUUCCAAGAUUUAUUUUUUGUCUUAUUCAGUACUUAAGAGAAGGCUAUAAUGAACCAGCAGCUGAUGGACCAUCAGAAAAGGACCUUAACAAAGUCCUUCAGCUUUUGGAACCUCAAAUUUCCUUUUUAGAAGACCUAACUAAAAUGGGAGGAGCAAUGCGGUCUGUUCUUACUCAGGUUUUGACAAACCAGCAAAAUUACAAAGAUCUAACUUCUGGUCUUGGGGAAAAUGCUUGUGCAAAGAAAAGUCAUGAAAAGUACCUUAUAGCUUUGAAGAGCUCUGGACUUACAUAUCCUGAGGAUAAGCUUGUAUAUGGUGUGCAGGAACCAUCUGCUGGUACUAGUUCUCUGGCAGUUCAAGGUUUUGUAGGUGCAACAGGAACUUUGGGACAAGUAGAUUCUUCAGAUGAGGAUGAUCAGGAUGGUAGUCAAGGUCUGGGCAAGAGAAAGAGGGUAAAACUAAGCAGUGGUACCAAAGAUCAAUCCAUAAUGGAUGUUUUGAAACAUAAAAGCUUCCUAGAAGAACUAUUGUUUUGGACUAUAAAAUAUGAAUUCCCCCAAAAGAUGGUAACUUUCUUACUCAACAUGCUUCCAGAUCAAGAGUAUAAGGUUGCUUUUACAAAAACUUUUGUUCAGCAUUAUGCUUUCAUUAUGAAAACACUGAAGAAAAGUCAUGAAUCAGACACAAUGUCUAACAGAAUUGUGCAUAUUAGUGUUCAGUUGUUCAGCAAUGAGGAGCUAGCCAGACAGGUAACAGAAGAAUGUCAGCUGCUGGAUAUUAUGGUCACUGUGCUAUUAUACAUGAUGGAAAGUUGCCUUAUUAAAAGUGAGCUACAAGAUGAAGAAAAUAGUUUACAUGUGGUAGUGAACUGUGGAGAAGCAUUACUGAAGAAUAACACUUACUGGCCUCUUGUUAGUGAUUUUAUUAAUAUUCUUUCUCAUCAAAGUGUGGCAAAGAGAUUUUUGGAGGAUCAUGGUUUGUUAGUUACAUGGAUGAACUUUGUAUCUUUCUUUCAAGGUAUGAACUUAAACAAGCGAGAACUAAAUGAACAUGUGGAAUUUGAGUCUCAGACCUACUAUGCUGCCUUUGCUGCUGAACUUGAGGCCUGUGCACAGCCAAUGUGGGGACUCUUAUCACAUUGUAAAGUUAGGGAAACUCAAGAAUAUACCCGAAAUGUUGUUAGAUAUUGCCUUGAAGCUCUUCAAGAUUGGUUUGAUGCUAUUAACUUCGUAGAUGAGCCAGCACCUAACCAAGUCACUUUUCAUCUGCCACUACAUCGUUACUAUGCUAUGUUUUUGAGUAAGGCUGUGAAAUGUCAAGAACUAGAUUUGGAUUCUGUUUUACCAGAUCAGGAAAUGUUAAUGAAACUAAUGAUUCACCCACUCCAAAUUCAGGCAAGUCUUGCUGAAAUCCACAGCAAUAUGUGGGUAAGAAAUGGUCUGCAAAUCAAAGGACAAGCCAUGACCUAUGUCCAGUCUCAUUUCUGUAAUUCCAUGAUUGAUCCUGACAUUUACCUGUUACAGGUUUGUGCUUCUAGACUUGACCCAGAUUAUUUUAUUUCAUCCGUCUUUGAAAGAUUUAAGGUAGUGGAUUUGUUGACAAUGGCAUCACAACAUCAAAAUACAGUACUUGAUGCAGAGCAUGAGAGAUCGAUGUUAGAAGGCGCUCUUACAUUUCUUGUGAUUCUUUUGAGUCUUCGUUUACAUUUAGGAAUGUCUGAUGAUGAAAUUCUCAGGGCAGAGAUGGUAGCCCAGCUGUGUAUGAAUGACAGGACACACAGUUCUUUGCUGGACCUCAUUCCAGAAAAUCCUAAUCCCAAAAGUGGCAUUAUUCCAGGCAGUUACAGCUUUGAAUCAGUUUUAUCAGCUGUAGCUGAUUUUAAGGCUCCUGUUUUUGAACCUGGAGGUUCUAUGCAACAAGGCAUGUAUACUCCCAAAGCUGAAGUCUGGGAUCAGGAGUUUGACCCCGUCAUGGUCAUUCUUCGAACAGUUUACCGUAGAGAUGUGCAGUCUGCAAUGGACAGAUACACUGCAUUUUUAAAACAGAGUGGAAAAUUUCCUGGAAACCCGUGGCCUCCCUAUAAGAAAAGGACAUCACUUCAUCCUAGCUAUAAAGGUCUCAUGAGACUUUUACACUGUAAAACUUUACACAUUGUGCUAUUCACUCUGCUUUACAAGAUUUUGAUGGAUCAUCAAAAUCUGUCAGAACAUGUACUCUGCAUGGUUUUAUAUCUGAUUGAAUUAGGACUCGAAAAUUCUGCUGAUGAAGAAUCAGAUGAAGAGGCAUCAGUGGGUGGACCAGAACGUUGUCAUGACAGUUGGUUUCCUGGCAGUAACUUAGUGUCAAACAUGCGACACUUUAUAAACUAUGUUAGAGUAAGAGUUCCAGAGACUGCUCCUGAAGUGAAGAGAGACUCACCUGCAAGUACUAGCUCUGAUAACUUGGGUUCUUUACAUAAUUCACGACGGCCUAAAGUUCUUCAAAGAGAGAAUUCUGGUACAGCUCAAGUUUUCAGUUUAGUAGCAGAACGUAGAAAGAAGUUUCAGGAAAUCAUCAAUCGCAGUAGCAGUGAAGCGAAUCAGGUGGUUCGUCCCAAAACUUCAAAUAAGUGGUCUGCUCCUGGCUCAGCUCCACAGUUAACUACAGCCAUUUUGGAAAUUAAAGAAAGCAUAUUGUCUUUGCUAAUUAAACUUCACCACAAACUCUCAGGAAAACAAAACUCCUACUAUCCUCCUUGGCUUGAUGACAUAGAAAUUUUAAUCCAACCAGAAAUUCCUAAAUACAGUCAUGGAGAUGGUAUAACUGCAGUGGAAAGAAUUUUAUUAAAAGCUGCAUCUCAAAGUAGAAUGAACAAACGCAUCAUUGAAGAGAUAUGUAGAAAAGUGACCCCUCCUGUACCACCUAAAAAAGUCACCGCAGCAGAGAAGAAAACUUUGGACAAGGAAGAAAGGCGACAAAAGGCUAGAGAGAGGCAGCAGAAAUUGCUUGCAGAAUUUGCUUCACGACAGAAAAGCUUUAUGGAAACUGCAAUGGAUGUUGAUUCUCCUGAGAAUGACAUCCCUAUGGACAUCACCACGGCAGAACCACAGGUUUCCGAGGCAGUAUAUGACUGUGUUAUUUGUGGACAAAGUGGCCCCUCCUCUGAAGACCGACCUACCGGAUUAGUUGUACUAUUACAAGCAUCCUCAGUUUUGGGACAGUGCCGUGACAAUGUUGAGCCAAAAAAAUUGCCGAUCACUGAAGAGGAGCAGAUUUACCCUUGGGAUACAUGUGCAGCUGUUCAUGACGUGAGGCUUUCGUUAUUACAGCGUUAUUUUAAGGAUAGUUCGUGUCUCUUGGCAGUAUCAAUUGGCUGGGAAGGAGGUGUUUUUGUACAAACCUGUGGUCACACAUUACAUAUAGAUUGUCAUAAAUCUUACAUGGAAUCAUUACGGAAUGACCAGGUUCUUCAGGGCUUCUCAGUGGACAAAGGAGAAUUCACGUGUCCCCUCUGUAGGCAGUUUGCUAACAGUGUUCUUCCUUGUUAUCCUGGAAGCAAUGUGGAAAAUAACCUUUGGCAACGUCCUAGCAACAAAAGCAUACACGAUCUCAUAAAGGAAGUGGAGGAGCUGCAGGGACGACCGGGAGCUUUCCCAGUAAGCAUCAGUUCAGAAACAAACUUAAGUAAAGAAAUGGAAUCUGUAAUGAAAGAUAUAAAAAAUACCACUCAGAAGAAAUAUAGAGACUAUAGCAAGACCCCGGGCUCACCAGACAAUGAUUUUCUCUUUAUGUACUCUGUUGCUAGAACCAAUUUGGAGCUUGAAUUGAUUCAUCGAGGAGGCAAUUUGUGUUCAGGUGGUGCAAGCACAGCUGGCAAAAGGUCUUGUUUAAAAAAGGAAUCUGAAGUUCAGAGUGAUUGCCUUGCCAAGUCACACAGCUGGAGAAUGGCAGAGCUUGCACUUGUGUCCAAAUCUUCUGACUCUAAAUUCAGUUAUGUAAGACUUAUCUCCUGCCCUUAAGUCUCCCAAAGGUUGCAGAAUUUUUAAGACAUUUUACCCAUUGGUUUAGUCAAAGACACUACUAUACAAUGUUGCCUUGGAUCUUUCUAGGCCCUGCUGUGCUAACUCUCCUGUUUAUCUUGUCUGUUUUCUUUUGUUAGCCUUUCACUGUCAAUUCUUUGUUUUUGUUUUUGUUUUGAGCCACCUUUUCAGACAUUUUUGCGAGUCCUGAGUCCUUCUGCCCUGGAUACCAGUUAGUUCUCCUUUAUUCUUUGCCAGUUUGCUUGCUGGUUCCCCUUGCUCUUGCUAUGAGUCAUGUGUGUUAGCUCUCAUGUAUAGCACAGCUGUCGAUUCCUGUGUCAGAGCUCUAGAACUCCUCCUUACACACCAGGGAAGGUCAGGCAUUUCAGACCUUGUAUUCAGGAGAUGAUACUGGUUUUAGAGACUGGUACUCAUCUGCUGGGCUUGUAUUCAGCAGAUGAGACUUGUUCAAAAUCCAUGUCCACCAAAAGCUUUAUUCAUUCCAGUAGUGAAUUUCUUAGAACUUACAACUUUGGUAGACAUGGCAUUUGAACAAGACUUUGAAAGGUAAGUGAGGUUUAGAGAGUUUUUGUUACAAGUUGGUAUAUACACUACAUAUCACCAACUUGGUUAGCAACAUUUGUAGGAUAAAGCAGAUGUAAAACUUAAAGGCAUAGCUUAUUAAGAAGAGUAUUUAAGCUUACUGUAUUUCUUCAUUUAAGUGAUUUGAAAAUAAAUAUGACAGUAUAAAUUCUAGUGAAGUUCAUAUGCUUUCAACACAUUUUUGGCAUGAUAUUCUCAGUAUAUUUCUCAAGUUGACAUUUUCAUUUGGGAAAUUCUGACUUAAUUUUAUAUAAUCUAUGAUCUUAUCAAGAAAUUAUGCAUAGUCAUUGCAGUAAAUAGUUUCUACCAGAAUUUGCUAUUCAUAGCAAGCAACCCAGCUUAGAUCUGUGCAGGCAACUUGAAAUAUUUCUACUUGCUCAAAGAGUGAAUUUUUAGUGAAUUUAAAAUUACAGAAAAUUAGGCCAGGUGUGGUGGCUAACUCCUGUGAUCCUAGGAUUUUGGAAAGCCAAGGUGGGGAGGAUUGCUUGAGUCCAGAAGUUGUUAACAGCCUGGGCAACAUAGGGAGAACCUCAUCUCUAAAAAGAAAAAAAAAUUAGGUGGGUGCGGUGGCAUGCACCUGUGGUCCCUGCUACUCAGGAGACUGAGGUGGGAGGAUUGCUUAAGCCCAGAUGGUGGAGGCUGCAGUAAGCCAUGAUUGUGCCAUUGCAUUACAGCCUGGGUGACAGAGCAAGAUGCUGUCUCAAAAAUUAUAGAAAAUUAUUUUGACAUUAAUUCCUUCCUGCAGUUAUGUAGCAUAAAGAUGUUGUUAAACAAGGAAUGAGUUUUUACAAAAUUACUCAUUUCUUUUUGAGAGACAGGGUCUUUCUUUGUCUGUCAUUCAGGCUGGAGUGCAGUGGCACAAUCAUAAUUCACAGCAGCAUUGAACUCCUGGGCUCAAGCAUUCCUCCCACCUCAGCCUCCCGAGUAGCUGGGACAGCAGACACACACCAUCAUGCCCAACUAAUUUUUUAAUAUAUUUUUUUGUUGAGAUGGGGUCUUGCCAUGUCGACCAGGCUGGUCUCAAGUUUUUGGCCUCAAGCAGUCCUCCUACCUUGUCCUCCCAAAAUGCUGGGAUUGUAGGCAUGAACCACUAUGCUGGCCUAAAAUUACUCUUAAGUAGUCUGACCUUAUUCUUUAACAGUUAGUGAUAAAGUUCUGACAUUGAUGGCCUUUAAAGGCCUUUUUCAAAUUUAAAAAUAUCAAUUUCUGCAAACAGAUUGAAUCACAAUUUUAUUUUUUUCUUACAUUGAAAAAGGAGGAAAAUUUGACCAUCAAAUUAUUAUAAUGAUCGAAAGGUAUAAGUUAAUAGAAAAAUGCGUAAAUUGUUUCCGGAGACUAGUUAUUGAUCAGAUUUGAUGGCUAAAGCUGAUUUUGUGGUAUUUGGGAAUGUUUCAUGUUCUGAAGAGCGAGUUGGUGUAUAUUUAGGGCCAACAUGAAAGAUGGAUAUAUGGUGGAAUCGACAACAGCAAACUAGGAGUCAUGGGCAUCUGCUUAGGCAAGACAUUUUAUGUUUUUGGCUUCAGUUUCCUAGUCUAUAAAAUUAGUGUGUUAGACAGGAUGAUCUAUGUCCUGAAAGAAGUUCAUGGUUGUUAACCCUGUUAUAUGCAGAGCUCACAUCUGGAGCUUUUCCCCCCUGUUAAUUAACAUCAUUAACAUUAAGCAUAAAAGGCAAAUAGCUGGACUAGGAGUUAUACUCUAGCAACUUUAGAAUUCAUACUUUAUCUACAGUCAUAUACUAUAGAAUAAAUUAAGGCUUGGAGUUUUGUUCUUUUGACCCAUCUUGCAAAUUCAGAAGAUUUUGGUAUUGUCUAUUUUAUUUUGCUCUUCAUUUCAAGUCGUGCAUAAAUUAAAAAUGGAGGCUGUCAAUGAAAUCAUAUAAUAAAUAGAAUCAGAAUCUUUGUGCUAAAAGUUACUUAGGAAAUCACCUAGUCUAAAUGUUAUCUAGCUCAGGCAUCUCUUACCUACUAUUCCAAUCAUUUGCUCUCUCUGCUUGAACACUUUCAGCGAUAAGGAGUACUUGUUGGGAUAGGUGAGGAGUUUGAUAAGGAUGGUGAUAUUAAACGGCAGCAUAGUGUAAACUAGAGAGUGAGAUUCUGUUCCUCAUAAUAGUCAAUCAGAGGAUUGUUAUAAGAAUUCAGUUUUAUAAUAUAUCAGUUUCUGCAUUUUGUAAAUCUCAACAUUACUAUUUCUCCUAUUUCAACACUAUAGUUGUCAAAUUUUGGGGGUGUGGAUAAGAAGAAGGAGCAAGAUAACACUUAACUUUUAGCUCAAUUUUUGUCCUAGUUUAUAACUAUAUACUAUAGACCAGGUGGCUUAUAUACAACAAAAAUGUAUAACUCACAGAUCUGGAGGCUGGGAAGUCUAAGAUCAAGGUUCCAGCAGAUUUGGUGUCUGGUUAGGACCUGCUUGCUUCCUCAUACAUACUUGUCUUCUCACUGUAACCUCACAUGGUGGAUAAGGCAAAAGAUCUUUUUGGGAUCUCUCUCUCUCUCUCUUUUUUUUUUAAGAGCACUAAUUUCAUUCACAAGGGCUUCCUCAUGAUCUAAUCACUUUCCAAAGGACCCACCUCCUUAUGCUAUCACCUUGGGAUUAGGACUUCAAUUUAGGAAUUUUGGUGGGACAUACACAUUCAGUCCAUUGCAGUUUUUUUAAGGGACUUAACAAACAUUCUUUUGACCUGUUCAGAGGUGAGAUUAGGAGGACAGAAGGGGAUUUAUCUCCAUGAUAAAGUUUAUCUGUUGAGAACAAAUAUAUUGUUAAUUUGGAAAGGAUUAGAAUGUGGCAUGAAAAUUUAAGUUAGAGGCGUGGCUUUAACUUUUCUUUAAGUCUUUCUGAAAGUCCCAUGAUUUGUGACUCAAGUAGCCAGGCCUUUCUGUAUUUAUAAUUUGGGCAUUCCAGGAACUAAGUACCAUAGAUAGUAAUUUUCAGUAUCAGGACAUAGGGUUCUUUGGGUCUUACUUGGCUUAGGGUAAGGCAACUCCUUUCUUGUGCAGUUAAAUGGGACAAACCCUAUUCCCAUUUUAAAUGAGGUGUUUAAAUAAGACCUGGAUUCAUGGAAUGUGACUCUUUGGUCAGGAGGAAAUUAGGAGUCCUAAUAACUGACUUCUCUCUUCCCCUUCCUAGGACUACCCAUAUGCAGAAGCACAAUUAUACCUCUCCCUGCCUGUUAUCAUUCCAAGCUGUGUUAUAAAGGGAAAAAGGGAGGCUUUUAGUCACUUACAUCUUACAGUAGAAGGUGAACAAUUUGAUGAAGCUAAUAGAAGGUGAACAAUUUGAUGAAGCUAAUAAUAAUACUUGUGGAUACUUGAGGUAACCAGAGAAUACUGGCAUAGUGUGCCUGGGAGUGGAGGAAUAGGAAUUCUGGGAGGCAAGAGAGGAACAUAGCAUGGAAAGCAUGAAAGUACUAAAAACAGCCUUUUUCUGCACUGUCUUCCCUUCCUCAUGUGGCAGAAAAACUUCUCCAAAGGAAGCAACACUUCCCCACUCUAUUCCAAAACUCAUGUGUCCUUGUUGACUAGUGACAACAUAGCAUACAGUACUGGAAAGAACACUGGGUUGGAGUUUGAAGAUGUGGACUCUAGUCUAUUUGUUAGCUGUUGGGCUUCAGGAAACUAACGUAACUUUUUACCUCAUUGUGGAUGUGAGGAUGAUGGUACUUACUCUGACUAUCUGAUAUAUCCAUCAUAGUUAAUGUAAUGAUCAAAUAGUGUUAGAUAUAUGAACUAAAGUAUCUUACAUAAUAUGUUAAUAAUUAUUAAACUUGUCUUUUAACCCUUUAAAAUUCUACCAUAACUGCCACUUGAUUCUCUGCCCUGGCUUGCCUGGAGUUCUUAGGAAUGGGAUAGGGAGACAUGAGUCAGCUCCUGUCAUCCAUGGCAUCAACCUUCUGUCUCUUGGGAACCAGACCUACAGAUGUUCCCUUCUUCUUGGACCUAUUCCCAGACCUCAUUUAAGGAGCUCUUUUUUUUUUUGAGACGGAGUUUCGCUCUUGUUACCCAGGCUGGAGUGCAAUGGUGCGAUCUCAGCUCACCGCAACCUCCGCCUCCUGGGUUCAGGCAAUUCUCCUGCCUCAGCCUCCAGAGUAGCUGGGAUUACAGGCACGUGCCACCGUGCCCAGCUAAUUUUUUGUAAUUUUAGAAGAGAUGGGGUUUCACCAUGUUGACCAGGAUGGUCUCGAUCUGUUGACCUCGUGAUCCACCCGCCUCGGCCUCCCAAAGUGCUGGGAUUACAGGCUUGAGCCACGCACCCGGCCAGGAGCUCUUUACCAUCUUUUCAUGGCUGCUUUCUUAGGGAUGUACACAGGAAUCAGUGGAAGCUGGCUUUGCUGUGAGAGGUGUAUACUCACAUCUGUUACAUUCACCUUAGGAUAAGUAGGUCAGAAUAAUUUCCUCACUUUGAUUAUUCAGUUGCAGAGAAAGGGAGAUCCCCCCCCACCUCCCAUAAUAUUUCAGAGAAUCAUUUGGCUAGUUGAGAUUUUUUUUUUUUUUUUUAAGGGACAGGGUCUUGCCUUGUUACCCACCCUGGCCCCAAAUUCCUGGGCUCAAAUAAUUCUCCCACCUCAGCCUUCUGAGUGGCUGGGACUACAGGUAUGUGCCACUUUGGCUGAGAUUUUUUUUCAUUGACAGUGAUUUAAUCACUGAUGACCAGACUGAUAAGACUGAAAUCUUGAAUACAGACCCAGUUAAGUUUACCUUAGGUGCAUUUUAACAGUGGUACAAUUUAAGAUAGAACCAAUUUAUGAAAGUCUUUAGGAUAACGCUUUAAUAUGUAUUUAUAUCUUAAUGAUCAAUAUGAGUAUAGUAAGAAAUAACCUACCAGUUUUAGAUUUCUUGCAUGUUUAGAAAUAACUGACAGAGGCACACAAUUUCCAGGAUAGUGCUGGAACAUUUGUUUCAAAAGCAUUUUUGAAAGAUUUUUAACAUGAUAAUGUUGGUUUUCCUUUCUUUAAGUGGAUAUUCCUAAGGCCAUAAACAUUGGCAUAAUUUUGUGUGUGUGUGUUAUUCAUAUAUAUACAUCUGAAACUCAAUUAUAUAAUAAGUUUGGAGUUAUAUUUUUAUUUUACGUUUUUUGUUUUUUUUUUUUUUUGGUAAAAUAGUCUUACCUAAGUGUUGACAAAGUUAGAAGGAUUUCUUAAACCUUAUUGGUUCUAGCUAGUACUUAUAAUUAAAUCUUAGAUUUUCUUAAGGACAAACUGGUCUUUCAGUGUUGUUUUCUCAGUUUCAAUAAUGAUGUGUCUGUCUGUGAUUAAGCACAUUUUAAUUCUUUAGACUUGUCACAGUUGUAAAGAAUUUGAUUGGAUAUUACAGAAAAUAGAAUUCUUUAUCCCAGGUGAGUUGUCACAUGGGAACCAGCAUGGGAAGAAGAUGGUAGGAGCAAGUAGGUCAAGUAGUGCUUUAGUACUUAGAGUUGAGAGGUCAGUCUCUUUUGGGGAAGUGAAAGUAGGGCUGAUUAAUUGGCCUACUUCUUGGUAACUGAACCAAUGUGUCAUUGUGACAGAAAGGGAAGAGUAGAAAACCAUCAUGAAUUUUAUGCUUAUAUUUGUGAUUUUUUCUUAGAAUUAUAUAGUGUUUAGCCUAUUUUUUAAAAUCCUAUUAUAUGUUAUGCACUUGUGCUAGCCUAGGAGGUACGAAAAUGUAAAGAUACAAUUGUCUUCUUUAGGGGGAUCUGACCAUCUAAUAGGAGAAGAAAAUGUGAAAAAUAAUUACAAGACUAUGUAAGAGAUGCUGAAAUAGAAAUAGAUAGCACAAGGUACAGAGAAUGUAUAAAGUAAGGAGAUAAUUGAUUUUUCUGUGAUAUCACAGAAAACCUUACAGAGCAGCACAUGAACUGGCUCUUGAAAGAUGAAUUGAGUUGGCCUGAAGGACAAAACAAUGCUUUUCUAGGCUAAGGGAACAGCUUUCAAAGACAUGAGACAACAUGACACAUUGGGGAAUACUUAAAAAGAAAGGAAGGAAAGUUAAGAAAUAAACCUGAAAAAUAAGAUGGACUAGCUUAUCAAGGGCUUUCUAUUCCUGUUCCUUCAGUGGAUCACCAGUCAGUUUUGAGAUAAUGUGAACAGAUUUAUUGAUUAGAGAAGUUGGAAGGAGUGAAACAAAAGACAUACAGCUGAGUGAGCAUUCUGUUGAGCAAUUUAGGUCAAAAACACUAUAGUGGCAGAGUGGACCAGAAUAGGUUGGAUUAUAAGAGGUAGAACCAGUAGGAUUGGUAAUUAAUUGGAUAUGGAGGCCAAGGCUGUGGGAGAAGACUCCCAAAUGUUUCCUUGGAUGUUUGCAUGAGUAGUGGUGUCAUUGACCCAAAUAGGAAUUAUAAAAGGAAAUUAACAUUGGAGCUGGGAUGGGCUGUAUAAUCAGGUUAGUCUGGAUAUACUGAUUUUUGAGGUGCAUGUUGAACAUCUUAAGUACUAGAGAGCCUUGUGAAUUGUUAACUUACAGGUAGAAGUGGGCUUGGGUAAAGAAGUGUGUUCAGAAUGAGAGGGAAAGAGGACUAAGAAUGUGACCUUUUAGGGUUCAUUAUCGAAGAAGAGCACAUAAAAGUAACUGAGAAGGAACCAGAGGAAAGCCAGGAGAGAGUGAUACCAAAAAUUAAGGAAAGAGGAGAGAAGAGAGUUAGGAAUGCAUGUUAAUAUAUGUUUGUAGAGUGGUGGUUUUAUGUGGCUACCUUAUGUAUCCAAUGUAUAAUAAUCUCUAAUUUCAGUUGUAAAGUUUAUAAAUAUUAAAUUGAUUUCAUAUUCAUAGCAGCCAUGUAUUUAUCUGCCUGAAAGCCCAACUUACACACAUACUAGAGAUUCAUGCUAUGACUGUAACUACUAUUACUAUAUACUAGACCAGAAAGGUGGUUUUAUAUUUAUUUUACAGACCAUAAAACUAAGUUUAGGUAAUUUGUGUAAGGACACAUGGCUAGUACAGACUUGGAUUCAAUCUAAGACUUUCUGACCCCUCGUGGUGCCUCUACAUAGGUUGAAAUCACAGCACACUUAUAAAUGAAUUUAAAGGUAUUUCUCAUUUCCAAACCUUUUUAUAUAUGUGGAUCAAACUUUAGAAUUUAAAAAUGUGUUAUACUAGAAAAGGAGAUAAUUAUUCUUUUUUGCUAUUGUUAGUCCAAAAUUUAAUAAUAUGCUUUUUUGUUAUAAUUAUUUUUUCAACUUUUAAAGUGUCAUGCAUGCAGUUGGUAGUUUUUUUUGAGACAGAGUUUCGCUCUUGUUACCCAGGCUGGAGUGCAAUGGCGCGAUCUCGGCUCACCACAACCUCCGCCUCCUGGGUUCAGACAAUUCUCCUGCCUCAGCCUCCUGAGUAGCUGGGAUUACAGGCACGCGCCACCAUGCUCAGCUAAUUUUUUGUAUUUUUAGUAGAGACGGGGUUUCACCAUGUUGACCAGGAUGGUCUCAAUCUCUUGACCUCGUGAUCCACCCGCCUCGGCCUCCCAAAGUGCUGGGAUUACAGGCGUGAGCCACCGCACCCGACCCAGUUGGUAGUUAAGACAUUUUUUAGUUUUUGACUUUUUGAUUAUGAUCAUAGAAUCUCCCCAUCCUACAUCUUUAAUAUUUGUCUGGUAUAAGAGGUGUUUUUGCUGCUAAAUGAAUAUUAGAGUUCAUUCUUACUGAUAAGACUAAAUUUUGAAAAAAAUUAAUAAUAAUGAAUUGUAUCAAUAAAUUGAAGUUAUUAAUGGUUAUUUGGUCAGUUCUGUGAGUAAGAGAGAGAGAGAGAGAGAGGGAGGGAUGGAGGAGAAGGAAUCCUGUACUUGUAUUUAAUCAUAAAAACCCCAAGAAAUAACUAAGAAGUGGCAAAUCUUGGAUCCUACUCUUAGCUUUUAGAAUAACUAUCAAGAGUGAACUGGCAAGGUACUUCCUUUCUCUGGGCCGAUUUUCUCAUCUAUAGAAUGAGGAAAUUAUGAAAAACUUUCCUUCUAACUUUCUGAAAUUCUUAUAUUUUGAUAGGGAUUAGAAAAAUAGGUGAAUGUAACGUUAUUUUCUGUGCUGGAUGUGGUUUCAAUGCAAAACAGGUUAGUACAAUUGCAACUUCUACGUUUUUGAUUAAAUUAGGGAAACUAAGAUAUCCACCUUCAUUUUGGUAGGAGAUAUUAAAAUGAGCCCUUUGAUCAAGUUAAUACCUAUAUAAAAAGAAUUCAGAACUCCUCACUGUGCAACUUGGGAUAAUAUUUUUUCUGUGAGAAGAAUUUAGUUUUUUAAAACAUUUUUAGGUUUUAGUCAUUAAAACACUCCUUAAAAGUAUAAAUUAUAUGCUUAAUAAUCUCUUAUGUAUAAUUGAAUUGAAAUAAAAGAAAAUUUACCAGUCUCUAGUCAUGUUUUUCCUCUGCUAAAACUUGCCUUGUUCUCAGUAUCAUCUACGAAACCAGGUUACUAGAAAAACUGGAAAUUUGAGAAACUUACUUGUCUCAAAAGUGGGGUUAAUAAUAUUACCCACCUAGUAGAAUUUUUGUGAAAAUUAAUGGAUGUUAUCAAUCAAUGUAGCAUUAUGGCUGGCACAUAAUAAGUAACUAGUCAUUAAUCGAAUGAAAAAAUUUAAGGAAGAUUUAGGCUAUACAUAGACUUACAAAUAGGAGAUGAAACAGGGUAAGGUAUUUAGAUUCUUCUGUUUGUUAUAGAGAGAUCAGAUUGAAAUUUACAAAAACGUAUUUUCUUUAUCCUGCCCCACGAGUAGAACAUUUAUUUUACUCAGAUUGUAGCUCUCAUAUAUAAAAAUUUAUUUAUUUUUUGUGGUGAGAAGGAGUUUCAUUCUUGUUGUCUAGGCUGGAGUGCGAUGGUGUGGUCUCAGCUCACUGCAACCUCUUCAUGGUGAUUCUUCUGCCACCAUGUCUGGCUAAUUUUUAUGUUUUUAGUAGAGAUGGGGUUUCAUUGUAUUGGUCAGGCUGAUCUCAAACUCCUGACCUUAGGUGAUCCGCUCACCUCAGCCUCCCAAAGUGCUUGGAUUAUAGGCAUGAGCCACUGUGCCUGGCCAGCAGCUCUCAUAUGUUUCAUAACAGCUUCACAAAACUGUACACGUACACACAUACAUGCAUACACACAUGCAUACCCCCUAUUACACCCUUUAUGUUGAUGGAUCUUGAGUAAGUUUACGUAAAAUACAAUUUCUAGGUCUGCUGGCUCAGAACAACAAAAUCUGGUCUAGUUUUAAUUAGAAAAUAAGUAACAAUAAUUAGUUCGUGUCAUUCAGUUAACUUUCUUCCUAGAUUUAAGAAUUAAUUUCAAAAAUCGGUUAAGAAGUAUCAUAUUAUCUGACUUUCUAAAAUAUGACGUUUGAUUUCUAAAUAUCUUUGAGUAUGUGUAGCAGAAUAAUUUAACCAAAUUCUUGUCAUUGAUACCAAAAAAAGAAGGGGUACAUCAGAUACAAAAGCCAUACUUAGGGUAUUUUUUUCAAAAUAAUUUUAAACAAGGUAUUUUCUUCUGAAUGCCAUGAGCAGAAUUUUGUUGAAAGCCAAGAUUGGUAGAUUAUUGUUAUAAUUCAGAUAGAAGAAAUUUAAAUAGUUGGAAUAUUACCAAAUAAUACUCUAUUUCAGUUACUUUUUUUUUAUGUAGAAUGCCGAGAUGAUGAAUUCACUCUUCAGUCUAAACAAGAUUUAGAGGGACAUAUUAGGCAGAGAAAGAACUUCACCUAACGAUCAGCUGUUUCAUGUAUUAGCCUUGCACAUGAGGCUUUAUAGCAUUGACUCUGAGUAUAAUCCCUGGAGAAAACUCACCCAGUUAGGAGAGAUGAAUCCACA